rnacentral:rRNA from 1 species
AUACGGAGGAUCCGAGCGUUAUCCGGAUUUAUUGGGUUUAAAGGGUGCGCAGGCGGCCAUUUAAGUCAGCGGUUAAAUCGUGGGGCUCAACCCCAUUCUGCCGUUGAUACUGGGUGGCUUGAUUGCGGUCGAGGUUGGCGGAAUUCGUUGUGUAGCGGUGAAAUGCAUAGAUAUGACGAAGAACACCGAUUGCGUAGGCAGCUGACCAGACCGCAAAUGACGCUCAUGCACGAAAGUGCGGGGAUCGAACAGGAUUAGAUACCCUGGUAGGCCGCACAGUAAACGAUGAAUACUUGUUUUCGGCGAUAUAAUGUCGGAGGCAAAGCGAAAGCGAUAAGUAUUCCACCUGGGGAGUACGCCGGCAACGGUGAAACUCAAAUGAAUUGACGGGG